CACCUACGGGAGGCAGCAGUGAGGAAUAUUGGUCAAUGGGCGGAAGCCUGAGCCAGCCAAGUCGCGUGAGGGAAUAAGGCCCUACGGGUCGUAAACCUCUUUUGCCGGGGAGCAAGGGCCGGGACGCGUCCCGGCCCGGAGAGUACCCGGAGAAAAAGCAUCGGCUAACUCCGUGCCAGCAGCCGCGGUGAUACGUAUGGUGCAAGCGUUAUCCGGAUUUACUGGGCGUAAAGGGAGCGCAGGCGGCGCGCCAAGUCUGAUGUGAAACCCCGGGGCUCAACCCCGGGCAUGCAUUGGAAACUGGC
rnacentral:rRNA from 1 species